UUCCUAAAACCGCCGUCGCCCGUCCAAAGCCGGGAUGUGAAAGGUUGAUGGGGAA
rnacentral:ribozyme from 2 species